rnacentral:rRNA from 1 species
CCUACGGGGGGCAGCAGUGGGGAAUAUUGCACAAUGGGCGCAAGCCUGAUGCAGCGACGCCGCGUGAGCGAUGAAGGCCUUCGGGUUGUAAAGCUCUGUCCUAAGGGAAGAAUAAUGACGGUACCUUAGGAGGAAGCCUCGGCUAACUACGUGCCAGCAGCCGCGGUAAUACGUAGGGGGCGAGCGGUAUCCGGACUCACUGGGCGGAAUGGGUGCGUAGGCGGCCCUGCAAGUCAGGAGUUAAAUCCCUCGGCUCAACCGAGGUCAGCCCUUGAAACUGUAGGGCUUGAGUGCAGGAGAGGAGAGCGGGAUUCCUAGUGUAGCCGUGAAAUGCGUAGAAGUUAGGAGGAACGCCAGUAGAGAAGGCGGCUCUCUGGACUGCAACUGACGCUGACGCAGGAAAGCGUAGAUGGCGAACAGGAUUAGAUACCCGUGUAGUC